UUUCUAAUUUGCUGCCAAAAAAUUCGUCAAGGCCAAACUUGCUGAAAUUUGGCUAAGUGUCAAGGAAGGCUGAGUCAAGUGCGGGACUUGACUGCCGCGCGGGUGUGACUUUGGGAUAACCAAAAUUGCCCCCAUGACACCUACCAUGAUGGUGACGUUUGAUGGAGAAUUAGGGUUCGAUUCCGGAGAGGGAGCCUGAGAAACGACUACCAUAUCCAAGGAUGGCAGUAGGCGCGCAAAUUACCCAUUUCUAACACGAGGAGGUAGUGACAAUAAAUAACAAUACCGGGCUCUAUGAGUCUGGUAAUUGGAAUGAGUACAAUCUAAAUCCCUUAACGAGGAUCCAUUGGGGGCAAGUCUGGUGCCAGCAUCCGCGGUAAUUCCACUAGUAUAUAUUUAUGUUGUUGUAGUUAAAAAACUUAUAGUUGGACUUUGGGAUGCGCAGGUCGGUCCGCCUUAGGUGUGCACCGGUUGUCUCGUCCCUUCUACCGGUGAUGCACUCCUGGCCUUAAUUGGUGGGUCGUGCCUCCAGCGCUGUUACUUUGAAGAAAUUAGAGUGCUCAAAGCAAGCCUAUGCUCUGUAUACAUUAUCAUAGGAUAACAUUAUUGGAUUUUGGUCCUAUUACGUUGGCCAUCGGGAUCAGAGUAAUGAUUAAUAGGGAGAGUCGGGGGCAUUCAUUUUUCAUAGUCAGAAGUGAAAUUCUUGGAUUUAUAAAAGAUGAACAACUGUGAAAGCAUUUGCCUAGGAUGUUUUCAUUAAUCAAGAAUGAAAGUUGGGGGCUUGAAGACGAUCAGAUACCAUCCUAGCCUCAACCAUAAACGCUGCCGACCAGGGAUCGGCAGAAGUUGCUUUUAGGAUUCCGUCGACACUUUAUGAGAAAUCAACGUUUUUGGGUUCCGGGGGGAAUAUGGUCGCCCGACUGAAACUUAAAGGAAUUGAUGGAAAUGCACCACCAGGAGUGGAGCCUGUAGCUUAAUUUGACUAAACACGGGGAAACUUACAAGGUCCAGACAUAGUAAGGAUUGACCGUCUGAGAGGUCUUUCUUGAUUCUAUGGGUGGUGGUGCAUGGCCGUUCUUAGUUGGUGGAGCGAUUUGUCUGGUUAAUUCCGUUAACGAAUGAGACCUCAGCCUGCUAACUAGAUAUGCGGAGGUAUCCCUUUGCGGCCAGCUUUUUAGAGGGACUACGGCCUUUUAGGCCGUGGAAGUUUGAGGGAAUAACAGGUUUGUGAUGCCCUUAGAUGUUCUGGGCCGCACGCACGCUACACUGAUGUAUUCAACGAGUUAAUAGCCUUGGCCGACAUGCCUGGGUAAUCUUUGAAAUUUCAUCGUAAUGGGGAUAGAUCAUUGCAAUUGUUGGUCUUCAAAGAGGAAUUCCUAGUAAGCGCGAGUCAUCAGCCCACAUUGACUACUUCCCUACCCUUUUACACACCGCCCGUCACUCCUACAUAUUGAAUGAUCUGGUAAAAUGUUUGGAUCGCGGCGAUGUGGGUGGUUCGCUGCCCGGAACAUUGCAAAAAGUCCUUUGAACCUUAUCAUUUAGAGGAAGGAGAAGUCGUAAUAAGGUUUCCGUAGGUAAACCUGCGGAAG
rnacentral:rRNA from 1 species